rnacentral:snoRNA from 1 species
GAGUGAUGAUGAAAUUGUGAGAGAUGAUGAGAGGGGAGGAUGGGAGGGGGUAGUAACAAAAGUGAAAACAAUUUCAAAUAGAUUUCAAUUUUUACUUUUGUAACUCCUCCCUCCCAUCAUCCCCUCUCAUCUUCCUUGUCAAUCUCAUGUACACUUA